rnacentral:rRNA from 1 species
AGCGAACGCUGGCGGAAUGCUUAACACAUGCAAGUCGUACGGGCAGCUUCGGCUGUCAGUGGCGGACGGGUGAGUAACGCGUAGGAACGUGUCCUGUGGUGGGGGAUAACGCUGGGAAACUGGCGCUAAUACCGCAUAUGGCCUGAGGGUCAAAGCCGCGAGGCGUCAUGGGAGCGGCCUGCGUCCGAUUAGGUAGUUGGUGGGGUAAAGGCCUACCAAGCCUGCGAUCGGUAGCUGGUCUGAGAGGAUGAUCAGCCACACUGGGACUGAGACACGGCCCAGACUCCUACGGGAGGCAGCAGUGGGGAAUAUUGGACAAUGGGCGCAAGCCUGAUCCAGCAAUUCCGCGUGGGUGAAGAAGGUCUUCGGAUUGUAAAGCCCUUUCGGCAGGGACGAUGAUGACGGUACCUGCAGAAGAAGCCCCGGCUAACUUCGUGCCAGCCGCCGCGGUAAAAC